AUCGCUCGGCUGGCCGCCCUCCUCCUCGCCUUCGCCGUCGCCGUCUCCACCACCGCGCUGGCGCAUGGCCGCGACCUCCCGACCCAGAUCAAGCUGACAAAUGGCGGCGGCGUGGUUGGCGGCGACAGGCAGGAGUGCGUGUACACGGUGUACGUGCGGACGGGGUCGAUCUGGAAGGCCGGGACGGACGCCAACAUCACCCUGGAGCUCUACACCGCAGGCAACGCCGACGGCGUGGCCAUCUCGGACCUGCCGUCGUGGGGCGGGCUCAUGAGAAAAUAUCUCUUAAUAACUGAGACUUUCAAGGUUGAUGGUCAGAGCAGUGUUAAUGGCCUCAAAGAGGCUGCAGAAGUUUGUAUGACUGUCAUAUUCAGGGUCAGAAUAGUAUGCACGUUCUUCCAAGAAUCGAAGCACGUUAGGAAGGUGUACAUCAAUUGA
rnacentral:rRNA from 1 species